rnacentral:rRNA from 1 species
GCGGCAGACGGGUGAGUAACGCGUGGGAACGUACCCUUUGGUUCGGAAUAGCCCCGGGAAACUGGGAGUAAUACCGAAUGUGCCCUUCGGGGGAAAGAUUUAUCGCCAAAGGAUCGGCCCGCGUUAGAUUAGCUUGUUGGUGGGGUAAUGGCCCACCAAGGCGACGAUCUAUAGCUGGUCUGAGAGGAUGAUCAGCCACACUGGGACUGAGACACGGCCCAGACUCCUACGGGAGGCAGCAGUGGGGAAUCUUGGACAAUGGGCGAAAGCCUGAUCCAGCCAUUCCGCGUGAAUGAUGAAGGCCUUAGGGUUGUAAAAUUCUUUCAGCAGGGAAGAUAAUGACUGUACCUGCAGAAGAAGCCCCGGCUAACUCCGUGCCAGCAGCCGCGGUAAUACGGAGGGGGCUAGCGUUGUUCGGAAUUACUGGGCGUAAAGCGCACGUAGGCGGACCAGCCAGUCAGAGGUGAAAGGCCAGGGCUCAACCUUGGAACUGCCUUUGAUACUGUUGGUCUGGAGUUCGGGAGAGGUGUGUGGAAUUCCGAGUGUAGAGGUGAAAUUCGUAGAUAUUCGGAGGAACACCAGAGGCGAAGGCGACACAC